AUACCCACCGGAAAGCGGAGCACACCAGCCAGAAGGGGGAGGAGGAGGCCCGCCAGAGAGCCGAGAGGACGCCGCCAAAACAGGGCAGUGUGGAGGAGCACACUCACCAGAAGUGGGGAGCAUGUCCAGAAAGAAGGAGCACUUCAGGAAGCCACGGGACUUACAGGAGAAGAAGAAUUCACAAGGAUAACACGACAGUCACCCUGUAUAGCAAUGGUCCAGUCACUGGUCACCUUCCAGAAACAGGGCCCCCAUGACCAGCGAGAGGCGGGAUCCCCAGCAAAGCCACAACGCGUCUCGCCCGCUCAUUCCCCAUCACCGCUCAGCUCACGGGCCAGGGGACAGUUAGGAACUGCGGGUUCUGAGGUCUCAGGGGCUGUCGUGAUCUGUAGUGAUCGUCAGGGAGCUGUGUUCCUCCCAGCCUGGAGGAAGCAGAUUCAACCGGCAUAUAGAGAGAAGACUUUCUGUUUUGUCUUUACAGUGAUAGCAACUUCUCU
rnacentral:lncRNA from 1 species